rnacentral:rRNA from 1 species
GGGCCCGCACAAGCGGCGGAGCAUGUGGAUUAAUUCGAUGCAACGCGAAGAACCUUACCUGGGUUUGACAUGCACUAGACGCGUCUAGAGAUAGGCGUUCCCUUGUGGCUGGUGUGCAGGUGGUGCA